UCCAGACUCCUACGGGAGGCAGCAGUGGGGAAUAUUGCGCAAUGGGGGAAACCCUGACGCAGCAACGCCGCGUGAGUGAGGAAGUAUCUCGGUAUGUAAAGCUCUAUCAGCGGGGAAGAAGGAAGACGGUACCCGACUAAGAAGCCCCGGCUAACUACGUGCCAGCAGCCGCGGUAAUACGUAGGGGGCAAGCGUUAUCCGGAUUUACUGGGUGUAAAGGGGGCGCAGACGGCAGCGCAAGCCAGGAGUGAAAGCCCGGGGCCCAACCCCGGGACUGCUCUUGGAACUGCGCGGCUGGAGUGCAGGAGGGGCAGGCGGAAUUCCUGGUGUAGCGGUGAAAUGCGUAGAUAUCAGGAGGAACACCGGUGGCGAAGGCGGCCUGCUGGACUGCGACUGACGUUGAGGCCCGAAAGCGUGGGGAGCAAACAGGAUUAGAUACCCGGGUAC
rnacentral:rRNA from 1 species